rnacentral:tRNA from 1 species
UUGGUGGAAGCCAAAAAGAGGCGUAUUACUGUUAAUAAUAUAAUUGAAUCUUAGCUUAUUCUCAUCAAG